AUUCUAUGAUGUCAUGGUUCCUUCUCUAUGCGUGUUCUCUUGAGAACCAAGCAGGAUCAAUAGUUUUCAGAAGAACAGAAGUACAGAAAAAAAUGUGUUGUACUGCCCUAGCUCUACCCCUCCCAGGUUAUGACUCCUUCUGUUACUUUUGACUGGGUCCUACCUUCCGUUUUUGGUCCAGUAACAGGGCUGCCAUUUGGGAAUGGAUUCUCAGGCUCUAGUUGCUCCCCAGAAAAGCCUCAGCAAGUCAUUUUACCCUUUGCCUCUCACUCUACAUGGGUCUUUUCGAGAAUAUCUUAAUGAAAUAUUUCCUCAUCCCUGCGGACAAAGAGAUUUUUAUUGUGGGGGUGUCCCAUUAUUUUCCAUCUCAGGGACUCCUCCUUCAUUGUUUCCUUUUCUCUUCUGCUUCUCUUUCAUGGCUGCGCGUUUCUUCUUCCAGUGUUGCGGGCUAGGUCAGCAGCUGCAGGAGAACUUGAUUAGUGCCUUGCCUCAGUGCAGAUGCAUUUCCCUGACAGCAUCGAUCCUGGGUGCUUUCGCUUUGCAGGCAGCUCCACAGAGGAGGAGCUUGUACUGCAAAGGAGGUGGACUGUUGUCUGUUCAAGAUAUGAGUGGGAUCACUAAAACAUGGAAGCAACAAAAGUACCUACACUUCUAUCUCUACCUGACAAGAAAAUAUUGCAAGAUGAAGAAACUGAAGCAUAAAGCAUCUAGAAGACAAGCCACUGCAAGUUUCUGA
rnacentral:lncRNA from 1 species